GCUCUCCCUGAAAAGGAGGUGAUCCAGCCGCUCUAACCUUGUGUCAGGACGUACGGGCCAAGGGACAGUCUCAGGUAGACAGUUUCUAUGGGGUGUAGGCCUCCCAAAAGGUAACGGAGGCGUGCAAAGGUUUCCUCGGGCCGGACGGAGAUUGGCCCUCGAGUGCAAACGGUAGAGCGCGCCCCUGAUAAUUGCGUCGUUGUGCCUGGGCUGUGAGGGCUCUCAGCCACAUGGAUA
rnacentral:lncRNA from 1 species